GGGGUGGGGCUGGCUCCUGACUGCCUCAUUUCUCACUCCUCAUGCCUGCAAACCUUACACUCUGGCUGGAACAAUCUUCCAUCAGUUCCAUGGUGGCUAUUCUCUCCUCCAAGCCUUGACACAUCCUGUGUCCUCAGCCUGUGCACUUUUCUUCCUCUUUUCUACCUCACCCCCACCCCCAAUUUCUGGAUGCCUUCUCUUUCAGGCUUGAAAUCAAAUGCCCCUUCCUCCAGGAAACUGCUUUGCUCCCCUCCUGUGUGCUCAGCAUCCUAUGUCGUAAAGCAUCAUCCCGCUGUGUGAUGAUGUGGACCCUCUGGUAGGCUGGCUCUCCAUGAAGACAAGCUUUGUGUCCACCAGGCACGUCACUGUGCCCCUCGCUCCUGGCACAGCGCUCAAUACACAAAUGAUCGUGAAUUACAGCCCAAGUACCUGUGAUCAAUAGAUGAUAUUCCUGGGACUGAGGAGAGGGCACCGCCAGUAUCCAUGUGGGCCUGGGAAGGCUGCCAGCCCCUGGUGGGAAGAGGAGAGGGGUAUCUGCUGAGGAGAGGGGCCAAAGAAGGAAAGAAGAGAACGGAAUAUGAAAUUUCCAAACCAACAGAGGGAAAAGAGGGAAUAAACAAAACCUGAUCAAUAUGAAUGGUGGCAGGAAGUGAGCCAAACAGAAACAGAAUAAAACCGCAAAGUAAACAGAAAAAUCCUUGCAGCGGAAUGCACCAAGAAGGAAGGUAGAAUCCGGAUUCUGCCUUUCACAUCUGUAAGUGUGACUUUGGGCAAAUGACUGAAUGACAUCACUUCUCUGACCUCGAUUUCUGCAUCUGCAAACUGGAGAUAAUGGUUUUGUUAAAGGGUUAUAACAGCACGUUCCAUUUAAGGGCUACUAGGAGGAUUAAGUGCAGCGAGCACCCAACAAGAGGGAGCUGUCAUCAACAUCCUCACAGUCUCUCUAUGCCAGGCACAGCCCUAUGUGUGUCCCAUGCACCAUCUCACCCCUCAUCACAGCCCCAUGAGGCAGGUACCACUUAUUGUUGUCACUUUAAUGAUGAGGACACAGGCUCAGAGGAGAGAGGCUUGCCAAAGUCACACACCUGGGGGAUUGGACACACACUGGAGAUCUCUGACCCUGAAUCUACCUGGUGGCUGAAUGACUUUGGGCAGCUGACACCACCUCUCUGGUCCUUAGUUUCCUAAUCUGCGCAUUGUGGGCACACAGGGUGAACACGAGGCUGGGCAGAAUGAAGAUGUGGACCCUAGGCACCAUUCCCAGCACUGGGUAACCGGUCAAUAAAUGCUGUUAUCACCUGCGUUGUGCAGGCAAGGAGACUGAGGCUUAGACAGCCCAAGAGUUGGUGUGACCUUGCUGAUCUGUGCUGACCUGUAGGCAUCAGGCCCCGGCUGGAGUGUGAGCUCUAGGAAGUGGCCUUGUCUGUCUGGUUUCACUGACUUAUACCCAGGGCUGACCUGGGGAAUGAAUGAAUGAGUGAAUGAAUGAAGUGUCCUUGGUUCCUACUCUAUACAUCCAUUAUUCCCAUAAGAAUGUUCUUCAUGCCCAGGAGCCACCCCAACGGGAAGCAACUCUGAGAGCCCUCAUGACUGCAGGAUACAAGUGAGCCUCUCAUUAGGACACAGGACGUCCAGCUGUGUUUUCCUCCAUCACACAAUCACCAUCUGUUACAUUGUACACCUUCAUCUCUUAUGAUCUGUUACCCACAGUAUCACACCAACUCCACGGGAGCAGAGACUUUAUUCAUUGCUGGAUCUUAUGUGGCAGUUGCUUAAUAAAGUGACAUCACUUGAUGUUGAGGUGACAUCA